rnacentral:rRNA from 1 species
UACCAGCACCCCGAGUGGUCGGGACGUUUUAUUGGGCCUAAAGCAUCCGUAGCCGGUUCUACAAGUCUUCCGUUAAAUCCAGCUGCUUAACAGAUGGGCUGCGGAAGAUACUAUGGAGCUAGGAGGCGGGAGAGGCAAGCGGUACUCGAUGGGUAGGGGUAAAAUCCGUUGAUCCAUUGAAGACCACCAGUGGCGAAGGCGGCUCACUGGGUCUCUUCUGACGCUGAGGAACGAAAGCUAGGGGAGCAAACGGG